GACAGAGGAUGCAAGCGUUAUCCGGAAUGAUUGGGCGUAAAGCGUCUGUAGGUGGCUUUUCAAGUCUGCCGUCAAAUCCCAGGGCUCAACCCUGGACAGGCGGUGGAAACUGCCAAGCUGGAGUACGGUAGGGGCAGAGGGAAUUUCCGGUGUAGCGGUGAAAUGCGUAGAUAUCGGAAGGAACACCAGUGGCGAAAGCGGCUUCCUGGUCCAGCACCGACGUUCAGGCACGAAAGCGUGGGGAGCAAACAGG
rnacentral:rRNA from 1 species